GUCUUUGUAGUAUAACAAAAUACCCCGGCUUUGUAAACCGAAAAUGGAGAAAACCACACCUCCCUAAGACU
rnacentral:tRNA from 1 species